rnacentral:rRNA from 1 species
UACAGAGGUCUCAAGCGUUGUUCGGAUUCAUUGGGCGUAAAGGGUGCGUAGGCGGCGCGGUAAGUCGGGUGUGAAAUCUCGGAGCUCAACUCCGAAACUGCAUUCGAUACUGCGGUGCUUUGAGGACUGGAGAGGAGACUGGAAUUUACGGUGUAGCAGUGAAAUGCGUAGAGAUCGUAAGGAAGACCAGUGGCGAAGGCGGGUCUCUGGACAGUUCCUGACACUGAGGCACGAAGGCCAGGGAGCAAACGGG